AUGUUCUCGUCCCAGUCUGCUAGCCGCAUCAACAACAUCCGAACAUCCCUCAUCAACGCGCAGAAGGGGAACCUCUCCGUUGCCUCCUACUUCGCCGCCAUGCGUGGCUACGUCGACGAGCUAGCCGCCGCGGGCAAGGCGAUCCCCGACGACGAACUCGCCUCCUACAUCAUCCACGGGCUCGACGCCGACUAUCAGCAUUUGGUCUCUGCCCUCGACGCUUGCAUGACUGGGGUAACCCUUCAUGAACUCUUUGCCAUGUUAUCCAACUUCGAUCAGCGCAUGGCUCAAUUCCAGGGAGCCGGCGGU
rnacentral:rRNA from 1 species